GGGGGGGGGGGGGGGGGUGCGUGGGACAUGGGGGUCGGGGGAGACCUGCGGGUCUAGUGGCGCACGGGUGCGUAGCGCGUGGGAACCUGCCCUUAGGUUCGGAAUCACUCCCCGAAAGGGGUGCUAAUACCGGGUAAUGUCUUCGGACCAAAGGUUGAUCGCCUUUGGCUGGGCCCUCGUUGGAUUAGCUGGUUGGUAGGUUAAAAGCCAACCCAGGCGACACGCCAUAGCUGUCCGGAGAGGAUGAUCAGCCAACCGGGGACUGAGACACGGCCCAGACUCCUACGGGAGGCAGCAGGGGGGAAUAUUGGGCAAUGGGCGAAAGCCUGAUCCAGCAAUGCCGCGUGAGUGAUGAAGGCCUUAGGGUUGUAAAGCUCUUUUACCCGGGAUGAUAAUGACAGUACCGGGAGAAUAAGCUCCGGCUAACUCCGUG
rnacentral:rRNA from 1 species